ACCAUCUUCAGGGAGUCUGCUUUUUCUUUACUUAAAAAGUUCAAAAUGAAACGCAACGUUACUACUUCAAAUGCACUCCUUGUUCAUAACCAACUACAAUAAAUUAGAUGAGUGCUCUGUGCGUUAGCUCCAGAUACAGGUGAAGCUUCAAAAAACAUACCUAUUUUGGAAAACCCAGCAAACACUGCUCAUCCAAAGCUCUUCAGGCAAAGUUGGAGGCCUUCAC
rnacentral:lncRNA from 1 species